CCCUCUUUCAUCCCAAGUUUUGGGCUCGAAAGUCUUGUUUCGUUUGAAAUCUCAGAGGCUUGUGCUCAUGCUUUUGUUAGAACGACCUGACUGUUUCGACUCCAACAGGUCUUGCACCUCAUGAUCUACUCUGUUUAAAGGGUUCACAAGUUAUUUCACGGAUUGGCAAGUCUAGUGUAUGUUUAAGGCAUAUAAUAUAAUUGAUUUUUAAAAAGUUUAGGUUCGCUGGAAUUUUACGAACGGUGCGCAGAUGAUGUUGAAAACUGCGGCUAAUUUGCCUCCAGAGUCCCGAGAUCGGAGGUUCUUUAUCCAUGGACUUGGCGCUGAUAAGACAGACUAGGGCUCAAAAGGAAUAUUUUGAAAGACGAACAAUAAAGGAAUAUUCGAGAUUAUUUCUGUCUUCCUCUUGGAAUCGCAGGAAUAGCCAUCAUCAUGGGUCGUAAAAAUAGUACAGAAGCCUCGCGAGGGGUUCGUGUAAAUCUGAUUUUACUGCCACCAAGACGAAGCGGCAGGCUAGUUUUGGCCGGCUUCUCGGCAUAAGGUCUCAGAAAAUUGCCUCGCGAGCCGAUAACUCCGCCGCUGAUGAGGGCCAAAAUAAUUGACGCUGCGAUUGAGUGGCGCUAGAAAAGUUGACGGGGUUAGGCAUAACAUAAAUAACAGUUAGAUGGCCGAAGCAGGUUUCCGUGGGCCAACAAGGAAUUUCAAGGCGAAGUUCUUUAGAUUAAACUAAAACAUGAGACAGAAGGUAGUCACAAUGGAACUAGCCGACGAGAAGACGCAUGGGAUUUGGGAUCCUGAAGCAUGGACUUGUUCCUCUGUCUGGAGGAACCCUGUAAAUGUAUCAGCAGCAUGCAAUAUAUGGUGUUUAAAAAGCAAUCACCUAAUUGGGAAAGGAAUCGAGAAGUUAGAAACUAUUGGAGAAGCCCCUGAAGAUCAUG